rnacentral:rRNA from 1 species
UACGUAGGGUGCAAGCGUUAAUCGGAAUUACUGGGCGUAAAGCGUGCGCAGGCGGUUCUAUAAGACAGAUGUGAAAUCCCCGGGCUCAACCUGGGAACUGCAUUUGUGACUGUAGAGCUGGAGUACGGUAGAGGGGGAUGGAAUUCCGCGUGUAGCAGUGAAAUGCGUAGAUAUGCGGAGGAACACCGAUGGCGAAGGCAAUCCCCUGGACCUGUACUGACGCUCAUGCACGAAAGCGUGGGGAGC